CUCGUAGGCGGUUCAGCAAGUCGGCUGUGAAAUUCCGAGGCUCAACCUCGGAACUGCAGUCGAUACUGCUGUGACUCGAGUCCGGUAGAGGAGAAUGGAAUUCCCGGUGUAGCGGUGAAAUGCGCAGAUAUCGGGAGGAACACCAGUAGCGAAGGCGGUUCUCUGGGCCGGUACUGACGCUGAGGAGCGAAAGCCAGGGGAGCAAAACGG
rnacentral:rRNA from 1 species